UACGUAGGGACCGAGCGUUGUCCGGAAUCAUUGGGCGUAAAGAGCGUGUAGGCGGCUAUUUAAGUCCUGCGUGAAAUCCUGCGGCUCAACCGCAGACGGUCGUGGGAAACUGGAUGGCUAGAGUGCGGGAGAGGAGAGUGGAAUUCCCGGUGUAGCGGUGAAAUGCGCAGAUAUCAGGAGGAACACCGGUGGCGAAGGCGGAUCUCUGGGCCGUAACUGACGCUGAGGAGCGAAAGCAUGGGGAGCGAACAGG
rnacentral:rRNA from 1 species